rnacentral:rRNA from 1 species
UUGCUCAGUAUGUAACUUUGAAGGCACCAGAUGUCAUCUUUUCUUGGAAGAUAAGCAGGGUCAGCCCUGGUUAGCACAUAAAUGGGAGACUGCCAAGGAAUACCAGGUGCUGUGGACU